GAACAGGACCCUGAAUCAGGUAGCUAGUUUCUUCCUGGUCUCAACAUUCAUGUUCAUCAAGGAAGACAAUAAGAUAACGCUUGAUGAGAACCUCAAAUUUUACCCCCCAGUCAAUUUAUUUUACUUAAAUGCAUAUUCAAUUGCCUGGAAAGAAAGCUCUUGUGUUUAUUUGACAGAAUGUGUCCUAUUAAUCUGCUACCCCCAGAACUAACCACAUUUGAUGCAGAAGCCAUCAAGCAAGAGGCCGAGCCCCUGAGAGCUGCAGAUCUCUGUGAGAAUCAUGAUGUUUCCAAGGCAACACAUGGCUUGGGGGAAAUCGGAGAAUAUUCCCGAUGCAGAGGAUAACAUCCAGCUAGCAGACAAUGCUAUCCACGCACAGAUGUCAGUAUUCAGUGGGACCCAGCUGUCCUAUGAUUAGGAUUGGGGAGGCUUGAGUUUCAAAGUACAAUGGUCACGUUCCCAUUCACUAAACCUGAAAAACCUUUCUUCCUGUGCAGAGAAAGAGCAGGCUGACAACAGGGUACAGGCUGUGGUUCCUGGUUUAUCUCUGUGUAGGGGGAUUGUCAGUGCAGCUCUUUGUCUCGCUCAGGUGACACACACACACACACACACACACACACACACACACUUUUAAGUCUCAUUUCUGCUGUGUCUGCCUACUGGGGACACACAUAGCCUUUAUUUUUCAUCCCAAAUAUUUCCGUUGUUCCAAGUGACAGACUGUUUGCUCAAGGAGACACUCAUUUCUUUAAGACUCUUUAAAAUGUCAUUAUGAAAACUUUAGUGUGGAAAGCCAUAUAGUUACUUAAAAGCAUCAACCACCUCACUCAGGGAACUUUUAUUAGUAUAUUAAGCCCUCCCCGACAUUUCUCUGAAAUGAAUCCACACUGUAUGCACAAGGUAGAAUAUAUACACUAAUUUAUAAACGGUGUCCUUAAUGACCAUCUUAGUGACCAGGAGGGUCUCUCACUCUCCUGGAGUGAGGUGGCGUGGUGCAUGGCAUAUGCUCUGCGCUCCGUGAUUCUGUGCCAGCUGUGAUCCUGUCAGUGAGCAGCUCUCUGACCUGGAGUUCUAUAGCUUCUCAGGUGUCUUGGAAAUCUCCUCUGUAAAGUGGAGCUGCCAGCGAUAAGAUCUGUGAUGUUAGGGUUAUUAUGACAGUAAAAUACGUUAAAGAGACAAUAGACCUUAGUGCCGCACCCAGCAUGUGGCCCUGUAAUUAGAUGUUCAUUGUUGUUAUCUUUCCAAGUUAUCGCUUCUAUCUACAUACAGCACAGUUGCAUUGGCUGUGAAUUGUACCGCGGUGCUGAUUUGUAAGCCCUCUUCUCUGCUUUCCUUUUGGUGCUGUGGUGUUUAAUGUGGUGCUUUGACGAAACUCAGACCUAGAGCUAUUUGCUGCACAUGGGCAGACAGCAGAAAGGAACCCAGUGGUCUCAGGAGGGGGCCUUGGGGGUGUGGGAAGAGAGAGUAGAGCCUCAACUGUGAUGUUUAGCAGACGAGGGGAUCAUACAUGAACUCUAUGGGGCCUGAUCUCUGGUCUUUUACUCUGAGCAUCACAAGCAACCCCCUUACCAUCUGUAGACUUUACUGCUCGGAUCUGUGAGAUGAAGAUUCUCUAGGUGUGAACCUCCUUGGGUCCUUACAAGUGACGAAUUAGGUUGUUUGUCUUAAUAAACAUUUUCUGUUAUUAGAAAUUGAAAGCUAGCUUUUUACACACACACAUACACAUAUGUAUUUCCCCUUUCUAUUUCCAUUGCCCCCUUGCAGGGUAAUAAGCUAAAAAGCAUCUAGUGACUGAUUUUGGAAACAGAAUAGUCAGUCCUGUGAGAACAAGAGGGGAGAGAGAGAGGGAAAGACUUAGCCCGGUGGAGAAAGAAAGACCAGGGGUCUUGGAGACUGUUGAAGUAAAAGUCAAGAAGCUUGUGUGCGGAUGUUGCUGACAGAAUAAAGGUAGAAAGUUGGUCUCCAAAGGUGACUGAAUGGAGCGGGGGAUGGGGGGAUGUUGGGGAGCUGAGACAGGAGUCACAGAGACUAUUAGCCUGUGCGGGUAGGCACACACACAUUGUUUUCACAUGGCUAUACAUGUUCAUGGUUUAUUGCUGCUACAGUCACUGGGUAAGUUGUAAGGGUCUGCCUUUCCCCUUUCUAUUUCCAUUGCCCUCCUGCAGGGUAAUAAGCUUCCAUUUCACACGUAGUUUUAUUUUUAAUCUUAUUCUUCUCUGAGGCAGGGCUCUCUCUGUAGCCUAUUCUAGCCUCAGACUUUCCGUGCAGUCUAAAUUGGGCCACCAGAGCUCCUUCCUCCAUUUCCCUGAGUCCUGGAUCAAGGCACAUCCCAUCACUGUGAGUCCCACACACCUUUUGGUACUCAGUUCUUCCACUUCGCCUCUGCCAGCUGAAGCCAGAGCAGGCUUACCUGCUGUGGAAUCAGGAGAAGGGAGAGAGUACAGUGUGACUUCCUGUUUGUUUCUGGUCACCAUCUCCAUUAUCCCAGUUGCUCAUCACCCCAUCCCUCUGUCACCCGGCCAGCCCUCUGACACUCCUUGUUACUCAGGCCUUUUGGCAGUGACCUCUCAUGUCAGGAGAGCAUUGCAACUCUGGCUUCGUUUUCACCCUCCAUUCUCAGAGCAGUCUCAAGACACCACAUUUGUUAGCAUCCUUCCCAAUGCGUGGCUCCAUCUCUGAGGGCCUCCCUUUGUGCCUGUCUCAGUGCAGCUCCAGCAUCCUCUUUGUCUUGCAGUUCUCUGAUUCCUGGUGAGAAACAAUUCAGGUCAAGUAAUCUCUUAAAAUUCCUGGUGUGGUUUCCGCUUCCUGACGUUGCUUUCUUUAAUAUCCUGUCCAAACUUCACUCUGUUCAAAUGAGCCAGUUGAGAAAGGAAUGUUAAAGUUAAGAGCAAACUUUGCUCCGAAGGAAGGGUGUGGAUGUUUCCGCUUGUCCCCUGGCUCUGGACUGACUCACUGCUGUGCCUGACUUUGACUUACCACAUCCCAGCCCCAGAAGAUGCCCUGGAGGUCUGGCACCUAGUGGCUGUGCUUUGGGGCUGUGGGUGC
rnacentral:lncRNA from 1 species